UGGCAUUUCAGUGAGGCUGGACAUGGC
rnacentral:piRNA from 1 species